rnacentral:rRNA from 1 species
AACGAACGCUGGCGGCAUGCCUAACACAUGCAAGUCGAACGAGACCUUCGGGUCUAGUGGCGCACGGGUUCGUAACGCGUGGGAACCUGCCCUUAGGUUCGGAAUAACUCCCCGAAAGGGGUGAUAAUACCGGAUAAUGUCUUCGGACCAAAGAUUUAUUGCCUUUGGAUGGGCCCGCGUUGGAUUAGCUAGUUGGUAGGGUAAAAGCCUACCAAGGCGACGAUCCAUAGCUGGUCUGAGAGGAUGAUCAGCCACACUGGGACUGAGACACGGCCCAGACUCCUACGGAAGGCAGCAGUGCGUAAUAUUGGACAAUGGGCGAAAUCCUGAUCCAGCAAUGCCGCUUGAGUGAUGAAGUCCUUAGAGUUGUAAAGCUCUUUUACCCGGGAUGAUAAUGACAGUACCGGGAGAAUAAGCCCCGGCUAACUCCGUG